ensembl:lncRNA
UUUUUUUUUUCAGUGGGAUUUAGUUUAAAUAUGCUUCAGAAAUUUGGGAAUUGAGCCCAGCUUUGGGAAGGGGGGAUCAGGAGCAGAGUAAAUACCAUGGGAUGGGCUCCCAAGAAGUUGGAAAUUCUGGAUCAUUAAAAACUCAGCUUGGUUUUGUUAAUGAGAGCUCUGAACUGCUCCCAUCUCUUUAUUCCUGCUGUUUUUAAUCCAAGGGUCAUGUGGUGUUCUCCAGGAGGUGAUUUAUCUUGGGAUUAUUGGAAUUAUUUAAUGCCAAGCAAGUCUGGAGGACCAAAUUUGAUUUCCAGGGAUCCAGGGAAGGUUUUGGCUCCCAGCUCCAAUUCCUCAAGUUAAUGAAGCCACGAGGAACUCCUGGAAGAAUCAUUAAGGAAUCCAUCCCUGCCAGGAACAGAAAAGGAUCAUAGGAGAGAAUCAUGGAAUCGUUAAGUUUGGAAAACACCUCCAGGACCAUCGGGCUGGAUGAAUGGGGGUUGCUGAGUUCACAGGGAAGUUUCCAAUGGAUUAACGGAAAACCACUGAGAAAAAAGACAGGAAUAAUAAUUUCUCUCUUCCUGAGAAGGUUCUAACCAGGAUAAUCAGGUUUUUUGUCACUGAGAGGAAGAUUUGGGCUGGGAUUGGGAGAAUGUUUAUGGUGUGGAGGGUCAGGGAGUGGUGGAAGAGAUGGUGGAGGUCAGAGCAUGGGAUUGGGGGGACGUGGCAGAAAGGGGGGAUCUCUCAUCCUUUCUGAAAUAAUGGGGCAGGAUUGAAAUCGGGGAAUCAGAGAAUCCAGGAAUGGUUUAGGUUGGAAAGCGGCUUCAAAACCAUUUUAUUCCAAGCCCUGGAUACCUUCCACCAUUCCAAGCCCCAGCCAGCCUGGCCUUGGACACUUCCAGGGAUCCAGGAGCAGUCACAGCUUCUCUGGGAAAAGCAUUCCAGUCCCUCCCCACCCUCUCAGCUGAAAAUUCCUUCCAAAUAUCCCAUCCCUAUUUGGUUUAAAACCACUGCCCCUUGUUCUUGUUCCCGUUUUGUGAUACAGGACAAAUCCCAACAGUCAGGGGACACUGGGCUCUUCUCUCCUGAUUUUUUUUGAGAUUUUCCUUAAAUCUUGAACUUGGAAAUGUGACUUGGGAUUGAGGAGACUUUUGGAAGCCCAAUAUCUGCCUGAGCUGAAAACCAAACACUCUCCCUUUGAUCAAAAUAAUUCCAUUAUUCCCAUUUCUGACUCCAAAACCUCCACCACGUUUCCAGAAGGAGCUGAAAAACCUGGAAACACUGCAGGACCCCUUUUAAAUUCCACAGGAAUUCCCAGCCCUUGGGACUCCCAUUCUAAAUCCUUUUCCUUGGACAAGGAGCUGGUAAAACCCUGAUUGCUGCUUCCAAGCCCUUUCCUAUCACCGGGAAUUCCUCAUGCUCUGAGCUGGAAUUCUGAUCCCAGGGAUUUGGGGGGAUGGAAAAACGUUGUCACUUUGCUCAUCCAUUGGCAUCACCCAACUCAUCCUGAGGGAAUGCUCAUCCUCGUGUUUAUUUAUUCCUGCAAACUCUGCCUUCUUUUGUCUCAUCCCUGAAUCCCCAGGGAUUCAUUCCCAAACUUCCCAAACUGUGACGUCCUGGAGGGAUUUAUCAUUCAGGAGCUGGGAUAAAAAAGCUGGUAAAAGCUGGAUUUCAGCACGGGAUCCUGGGAAUGAGAAGGAAUUUCUGCCCACCUUGGCUCAUCUGAGAUCACAGGAACAAAGGAGCUGCCCCAGGGGAAAUUUAUAUGAAGAAACUCCUCCAAAAAUUCCUGAGUUUUCAAGGAAUUCUCAAUAAUUAGCUGAGAACAUCAAAAUCUCCAUUUCUGAGAAGGGAAUCCCAACUUAAGCAUCUCUCUUUGGAAGACGUCUCUGCUGCAAGGUCACUGAUACUUAUUUUUAAAUUUUAUAAUUAUUUUUAAAUUAUUGUAAAAUUUCAAAAUUAUUUAAAAUUAUUUUUAUGUUUCAUUAUAUUAUUAUAUUAUUAUUAUAUUAUUUUAUUUUUAUUACAUUUUAUGUUAUUUAUAAUUAUUUUUAAUUAUUUUUAAUUAUUUUAAAAUUAGUUUUAAUGAUGGUUGUCAGCAGAGCUUCCGAGAUAGGAAGGAAUUCUCACCAUGCUUUUUCCCUGGUUUAAUCUCUUUUAGGUGGCUCCCAAAAUGUUGACAUUAAUGCUGUGUACAACCCACAUUUGCAUAUAUUUAUUUUAUUUAUUAAUCACCUCACAAAAAUCCACAAUUAAAUCCUACAGACGGCAAUAUGGAAAUGGUUUAUUUGAUUCUGUGUGUAAUAAAAAAUUCAUAAUAAUAUAAUUACUUGAAUUUGAAAAGCACUACAGAUGUCAUUGUACGUUCUUAGUUUUUGUUUUAACAAGGCAGGGUUUAAAUUAAACUCCAGCUCCACACCGAGAUUAUUUCAAUUAAAGAAACCUCUUGUGAUCAAAUAUUCUUUGCUUUAAAGUCUUGCUGCAUAAAUAUUUCAUCCCGUGUUUAAUAACAACUUUUUCAGAGUGGAGAAACAAACACGGAGCUCUGAAAUUUGUGGAUUUAAACAGCUGCUGACAGAAUUUUGAGGAAUAUUUGAGUUGGGAAUUAAUUCAGCUUGGGGCAAAAUGCAGAAAUAAUGUUGGGAGGGAGGGAUCUGGAUGAAAACAAAAAGUGGAAAAUGUUAUUUUGGAGACAUCAAUUCAUAAUUUGCUGUCACAAAACUCUCCUGGGGUCCUCACUGAAGCAACAAUUAAAGUGGGAUUUAAAACAAAACCAAUUACAGACGCUCCAAUGGAAAAUAAACAUUAAUUGUUGCAGCGUUUUUUAUUUCUUUCCCAAAUAAAGACUCCUUUGGGGGAAACAGGGAGGAAUUCACAGGGAAUUUAGUGCGGAAUGUUGGGAAUCAGCUGAAUAAAGGGAGAGCUCCCACUGUCCCAGGCUGCUCCAGCCCCUGUGUCCAACCUGGCCUUGGGCACUGCCAGGGAUCCAGGGACAGCCCCAGCUGCUCUGGGAAUUCCAUGUGGGAAUAUUCCCAUGCGCUUAAUUCCAAAUAAUCCCCCUCUUGAUUCAUCAUGCACUUCCUCACAACAAUUUCCAGACUCAAAUGUGUCACAUUCAGGAUUUAUCACCUAUAAAUUCCCCACAUGAAAUAAUAAAUCCCAAUUUUUCAAGCAGAUUUGUAAAAGGUGGAAUUCCUGCUCAUCCAACACAUUCCAUUCCCAAAUUUCCAUUUCCUCCACAGUUUUCCUGCUGUUCCUUUUAUUCCAUAUGCUGCUUUUAUUACAAGUCCCACAUCCUGCUGUGGGGAGAAUAAAAUUUAUUCAUAAUUCAUAUAUUUUCAGAGUUUAAAAGAAUUGGGCUGUAAAAUCAACUUUAAUGAGCAUUUAAAAAUAAUUUUUAGGGCACUCCUGAGGUGAAAAAUUUGGGAAUGGGAAAUGGCAGAUGUGAAAUGACACAGAGACAUUUGCUCCAAAUAUUUCUAUGGAUAAACCACCAGCUUUUCCAAAUAUUUUGUGAUGGGAUUUUAUAAACUGGAUGAUCAUGUAGGGAUGAUCAUGAUCAGCCCCAGAAAAAAAAAAAAAGUGAAUCUGAGAUGGAACAGGUUGAGGAGUAAAAUUCCUGCUGCUCCAUGAAUGGAAAAAGCCAUUGGAAGCAGGAAAAUAUAAAAUGAGUUGUGAGACAGAAUUUGCAGGAAAAGCCAUUUUUAGUUUUGGUUUGGUCUGGAACUUCCUAAAACAUCUUGUUCCUGCUUUUUUCUCAUCAUAUUUUAAGGGAUGGGUUUUUUGGGGAAUUCAUUAAGCAGAAGAUUCCAUGUGGGAUUUCACUUGGAUCCGUUACUGUCUGACGCCCUCCUGGUUUUUGAUUAAAUGAUGCCAUUUUGGGUUUAGAAAUGUUUUAAAAUGCUUUGGAUUUAGUUCAUUUUGCCACAAUUUGGAAUUCUACCAAGGAACAUCAGAAUUAAAGACCAGAUCCUCUAAUAAAUGAUGGAUAAUUGAAGGAAAGGAAAACGGUUUUUAUCACUUUAAUCAGGAAAAAAUUAUUUGGUGCCUCUUUGUGACAAUCCCAAAUCUCCAUUCCUUUUGGAACUGAAUGUCAGAGACUUGGCUCCAUGAAAAUGAUGGAAAGAAAUAGUUUUAGUUUUGAAAAUCCCAGGUUUUAAAGUCAGGAUGGUCUUCCAAAAGUCUGAUCCCUCAGGUGGUUCAUGUGGAUGACCAAUGGGAUAUUCCCCAGGACAGCCAGGAAUGGGAAUUCUUGGGACUAAAAUUAGUAGCAUUUUCAAAAUUUAUUGAUGAUUUUGUACAGAAAACCUGGUCUUGAGGACCUGACCCCAAAGAGAGGGGUGGGAUGGGUUUGUUCCCAUCAUCAUUUGGGAACAGAGAUGGAAAAUCCAUGGGAUGGGGGAGCUGUUCCUGCCUUUUUAGGUGGCCGCUGAGCACUGACCACAGACAC